rnacentral:rRNA from 1 species
UACAGAGGUGGCAAGCGUUGUUCGGAAUUACUGGGCGUAAAGGGCGCGUAGGUGGCCAUCUAAGUCAGACGUGAAAUCCCCCGGCUCAACCGGGGAAUUGCGCCUGAUACUGGCGGGCUAGAGAUCGAUAGGGGUGAUCGGAACUCCAGGUGGAGCGGUGAAAUGCGUAGAUAUCUGGAGGAACACCGGUGGCGAAAGCGGAUCACUGGAUCGAAACUGACGCUGAGGUGCGAAAGCUAGGGUAGCAAACGGG